GAUAAACGCUGGCGGCGUGCCUAAUACAUGCAAGUCGUGCGGUAAGGCCCCUUCGGGGGUACACGAGCGGCGGACGGCAGAGUAACGCGUAGGAACGUACCCCAAAGUGAGGGAUAACUGCUCGAAAGAGUAGCUAAUACCGCAUAUGAUCUUCGGAUUAAAGCAGCAAUGCGCUUUGGGAACGGCCUGCGUCCGAUUAGCCAGUUGGUAGAGUAAUAGCCUACCGAGGCGACGAUCGGUAGGUGGUCUGAGAGGAUGAUCAGCCUGACUGGAACUGAGACACGGUCCAGACUCCUACGGGAGGCAGCAGUGGGGAAUUUUGGACAAUGGGCGAAAGCCUGAUCCGGCCAUUCCGCGUGCAGGAUGAAGGCCCUCGGGUUGUAAACUGCUUUUGUACAGAACGAAAAGGUUUCUACUAAUAGUAGGAGCUCAUGACGGUACUGUAAGAAUAAGCACCGGCUAACUACGUGCCAGCAGCCGCGGUAA
rnacentral:rRNA from 1 species